ensembl:lncRNA PCDHB18P protocadherin beta 18 pseudogene
AGAUGCUCUGGUUUUCCUUAACCAUGGGAACUGAAAGCGCUGGAAUACCAGGAGAAAAUAGUCUUUCAAAAGGUAGGGCACCAUCAACACCUUCGCGACAGGAUUAAGAGUUUCUAGAUUCCCAAAGGUCCAGGCUGAUAGGUGAGAGGAGCAACUUUAAGAGCUGCUAGAGACUGAGUUGAAACGUUUACGCCAGAAAGACGUUUGGCUAAGGAGCUAUGGAGCCGGGAAAGGGAAGAGCUCAGCGGACAAGGCAAGUGCUGCUUUUCUUUGUUUUCCUGGGAGGGUCUUUGGUGUGUUCUGAGACCGGGAGCUAUUCCAUAGCAGAGGAAAUGGAGGUCGGUACCUUUAUAGCCAACGUGGUGAAAGACAUGGGUUUGGAUGUGGAAGACCUGGCUGCAAGGGGGGGCCAGAGUCAUCUUUGACGACUAUAAACCUUAUUUGCGAUUGGAUCCACAGAAUGGCGACUUGCUCUUAAACGAGCAGCUGGACCGGGAGGCACUUUGUGAUCUCACAGAGCCAUGUAUAUUGCAUUUCCAGGUGUUAUUUGAAAAUCCGUUGCAAUUUUUUCGUGCUGAGCUUUUGGUCAAAGACAUAAAUGAUCACACUCCCACGUUCCUAAACAAUCAUAUGCUUCUAAAAAUCUCCGAAGGUGCUACUCUAGGAACCUUAUUCCAAAUAGAUAGUGCGCAGGACUUGGAUGUGGGAAAGAAUGGUGUUCAAAACUAUACAAUAAGUCCCAAUCCCCAUUUCCACCUUAAAUUACGGGAUAGCGAUGAGGGCAGAAAAUAUCCAGAGUUGGUACUGGACCAAUCCCUGGAUCGAGAAAAGGUGUCUGAGUUUAGUUUAACGCUAACAGCCGUGGAUGGCGGGUCUCCGCCCAGGUCUGGGACUACACUGAUUAACGUUGUGGUCCUGGACAUCAGUGACAAUGCCCCUGAAUUUGAGAAGCCAGUCUAUGAAGUUCUUGUACCUGAGAGCAGCCCUCUGGACUCCUUGAUCAUCAAAGCGUCUGCUACAGAUUUAGAUGCAGGAAUAAAUGGAGAACUGUCUUAUUCAUUUUCCCACGUCUCCAGAGAUGUACGGAAAACAUUUGAAAUCCAUCCAAUUUCUGGCGAAGUCUAUUUAAAAGCCCCUCUAGAUUUCGAGAUUAUUCAAUCUUAUAUCAUAAAUAUUCAGGCCAUUGAAGGUGGGAGCCUUUCUGGAAAAUCAAGCAUUUUAGUUCGGGUUGUAGAUGUGAAUGACAACCCGCCAGAAAUAGCCAUGACAUCUCUUACCAGCCCCAUACCGGAAAACUCUUCACCUGAGAUGGUGGUCGCUGUUUUCAGCAUACGAGACCAAGACGCUGGAGACAAUGGGAGAACAGUUUGCUCAAUUCAGGACAACCUCCCCUUUGUCUUGAAGCCUACCUUCAAGAAUUUUUACGCUCUGGUAACAGAGCACCCACUGGACAGAGAGGUCAGAAAUGAAUAUAACAUCACCAUCACCGUGACCGACUUGGGGACACCCAGGCUGAAAACCGAGCACAACAUAACCGUGCUGGUCUCCGACGUCAAUGACAACGCCCCCAUCUUCACCCAAACCUCCUACACCCUGUUCGUCCGCGAGAACAACAGCCCCGCCCUGCACAUCGGCAGCGUCAGCGCUACAGACAGAGACUCAGGCACCAACGCCCAGGUCACCUACUCGCUGCUGCCGCCCCAGGACCCGCACCUGCCCCUCACCUCCCUGGUCUCCAUCAACGCGGACAACGGCCACCUAUUCGCCCUCAGGUCUUUGGACUACGAGGCCCUGCAGGAGUUCGGGUUUCGCGUGGGCGCCGCAGACCACGGCUCCCCGGCGCUGAGCAGCGAGGUGCUGGUGCGCGUGCUGGUGCUGGACGCCAACGACAACUCGCCCUUCGUGCUGUACCCGCUGCAGAACGGCUCGGCGCCCUGCACCGAGCUGGUACCUCGGGCGGCCGAGCCGGGCUACCUGGUGACCAAGGUGGUGGCGGUGGACGGCGACUCGGGCCAGAACGCCUGGCUGUCGUACCAGCUGCUCAAGGCCACGGAGCCCGGGCUGUUCGGCGUGUGGGCGCACAAUGGCGAGGGGCGCACCGCCAGGCUGCUGAGCGAGCGCGACGCGGCCAAGCACAGGCUGGUGGUGCUGGUCAAGGACAAUGGCGAGCCUCCGCGCUCGGCCACCGCCACGCUGCACGUGCUCCUGGUGGAGGGCUUCUCUCAGCCCUACCUGCCUCUCACGGAGGCUGCCCCCUCCCAGGCCCAGGCCGACUCCCUCACCGUCUACCUGGUGGUGGCGUUGGCCUCGGUGUCGUCGCUCUUCCUCUUCUCGGUGUUCCUGUUCGUGGCGGUGCGGCUGUGCAGGAGGAGCAGGGCGGCCUCGAUGGGUCGCUGCUCGGUGCCCGAGUGUCCCUUUCCAGGGCAUCUGGUAGACGUGAGCGGCACCGGGACCCUAUCCCAGAGCUACCAGUACGAGGUGUGUCUGACGGGAGGCUCAGGGGCAAAUGAGUUCAAGUUCCUGAAGCCGGUGAUUCCCAAUCUCCUGUCCCGCGACAGCGAAAUGGAGAAAGCCCCACCUUUCUGAAUGGCGUGGAAUGCAAUUAGGGAUCUGAUUAUGAUGCAGAACUUUUAGAAUGAGUCUAUUUCUUUGAAAUCUUAUUCAUUGUUAUGCAGAGUUUUUCAUUUUGGGUAACUGCAUUUUACUCAAGAGUUUUCAGAAGUUACAAGAAUUUAAGUCUAUUUUUUGUUGUUUUAACCGUGAAAAAAUUGAGAGCCGGAAUUUGCUUAGUCAUUGUUUUGAAAUACAACCUCAAAUAAUAUAUUCACAAACACAUUAUUUUCCCUUCAAGUUUAAUCGCACACUGGGCUCAUUCAUAUUUUCUGAGUGUUCUGACUGUGGAUCCUCUAUCCAAAGCAGUUUUUAUAUAAUUGAGAAUAUUAUUAUAGAGGUAAAUGCAUGAUAUGAAUAAAAACAUAAUUGCUUGUUAUCUGGUUAGGUUGGUUUCUGAGAUGUUAUCUAAUUUAGGUUUCUUUCUUAAAAACCUAUAAUCUUUUCAUUCUACUUUUCUGGCAAACAUUGCAGAGAAUUUUUCCUGUACUUAGGGUUUUUUUUCCAUAAUUAUUUGUGAACCAUAUAUAUGCUAGUAGAAGUUGUUUUAUUUAAAUAAAUUCAAAACCUUGUUUGGAUUAAGAUGU